rnacentral:rRNA from 1 species
AUUGAACGCUGGCGGCAUGCUUUACACAUGCAAGUCGAACGGUAACAGGUUAAGCUGACGAGUGGCGAACGGGUGAGUAAUGCAUCGGAACGUGCCCGGUCGUGGGGGAUAACGCAGCGAAAGCUGCGCUAAUACCGCAUACGAUCUGAGGAUGAAAGCGGGGGGCCGUAAGGCCUCGCGCGAUCGGAGCGGCCGAUGUCAGAUUAGGUAGUUGGUGGGGUAAAGGCUCACCAAGCCAACGAUCUGUAGCUGGUCUGAGAGGACGACCAGCCACACUGGGACUGAGACACGGCCGAGACUCCUACGGGAGGCGGCAGUGGGGAAUUUUGGACAAUGGGCGAAAGCCUGAUUCAGCAAUGCCGCGUGCAGGAAGAAGGCCUUCGGGUUGUAAACUGCUUUUGUACGGAGCGAAAAGGUCUCCUCUAAUACAGGGGGCUCAUGACGGUACCGUAAGAAUAAGCACCGGCUAACUACGUGCCAGCCGCCGCCGUAA